rnacentral:rRNA from 1 species
GAUGAACGCUGGCGGCGUGCCUAAUACAUGCAAGUCGAGCGAACAGACGAGGAGCUUGCUCCUCUGACGUUAGCGGCGGACGGGUGAGUAACACGUGGAUAACCUACCUAUAAGACUGGGAUAACUUCGGGAAACCGGAGCUAAUACCGGAUAAUAUAUUGAACCGCAUGGUUCAAUAGUGAAAGACGGUUUUGCUGUCACUUAUAGAUGGAUCCGCGCCGCAUUAGCUAGUUGGUAAGGUAACGGAUUACCAAGGCAACGAUGCGUAGCCGACCUGAGAGGGUGAUCGGCCACACUGGAACUGAGACACGGUCCAGACUCCUACGGGAGGCAGCAGUAGGGAAUCUUACGCAAUGGGAGAAAGCCUGACGGAGCAACGCCGCGUGAGUGAUGAAGGUCUUCGGAUCGUAAAACUCUGUUAUUAGGGAAGAACAAAUGUGUAAGUAACUAUGAACGUCUUGACGGUACCUAAUCAGAAAGCCACGGCUAACUACGUG